CAUGCACCGAAGCUGCGGCAGCGACGCUUAUGCGUUGUUGGGUAGGGGAGCGUUCUGUAAGCCUGUGAAGGUGUGCUGUGAGGCAUGCUGGAGGUAUCAGAAGUGCGAAUGCUGACAUAAGUAACGAUAAAGCGGGUGAAAAGCCCGCUCGCCGGAAGACCAAGGGUUCCUGUCCAACGUUAAUCGGGGCAGGGUGAGUCGACCCCUAAGGCGAGGCCGAAAGGCGUAGUCGAUGGGAAACAGGUUAAUAUUCCUGUACUUGGUGUUACUGCGAAGGGGGGACGGAGAAGGCUAUGUUGGCCGGGCGACGGUUGUCCCGGUUUAAGCGUGUAGGCUGGUUUUCCAGGCAAAUCCGGAAAAUCAAGGCUGAGGCGUGAUGACGAGGCACUACGGUGCUGAAGCAACAAAUGCCCUGCUUCCAGGAAAAGCCUCUAAGCAUCAGGUAACAUCAAAUCGUACCCCAAACCGACACAGGUGGUCAGGUAGAGAAUACCAAGGCGCUUGAGAGAACUCGGGUGAAGGAACUAGGCAAAAUGGUGCCGUAACUUCGGGAGAAGGCACGCUGAUAUGUAGGUGAAGUCCCUUGCGGAUGGAGCUGAAAUCAGUCGAAGAUACCAGCUGGCUGCAACUGUUUAUUAAAAACACAGCACUGUGCAAACACGAAAGUGGACGUAUACGGUGUGACGCCUGCCCGGUGCCGGAAGGUUAAUUGAUGGGGUCAGCGCAAGCGAAGCUCUUGAUCGAAGCCCCGGUAAACGGCGGCCGUAACAAUAACGGUCCUAAGGUAGCGAAAUUCCUUGUC
rnacentral:rRNA from 1 species